UUUUUAAAACUGGUUUGGAUAAUAAACCUUUUAAGGUGGAUAUGGUUUGGUUUGGUUUGGUUAAGAACCAAACCAUGAACACCCCUACUUCUCACUCACGAUUCUCUCCCUCUUUCUCCCACAAAAGAAAAAUAUCUCUCUUUCUUUUAUUAUUCUGAUUUCUUUCUCUAAAAAACAAAAGCUGCAGAACACUUUCUCUGAACCUUGUCUGCAACUUCUCUUCUUCCUCCUCACCAUUUUCUUCUUCCCAACAUGUCUGGAACAACACCACCACCACGAGCCAAAACCGCGAGCACCACCACCUCCAUGCCUCCUUCACGCAGCAACCACCACUGUCCCUGUUCUGUUUUUUUUUCCCUCUCCAUGAGAGCCACCACCAAAACCCUAGCCGCCACCUUGUUCCUCCGAUCUCCGGCGAACCAUUAAGUUUUUGGAGAAACCAACACCACCACUGAACUCCCCUCAUCAUCCGCAAUAAAACCCCUCCAUCAAUUCGAUGAUCGGCCACCGCGACUCCGGCGACCGCCGCCGCCGCCGUCUUCUCCGGCGAGCUUUGUUAUGAGAAAGGAGGCCAAUUUCUUGAAGCUCUCAACCUCCUCUUCCUGAAUCCAAGGCCCAAUCAUCAGUAAGAGCCAUGAGGUUCACUAGCAGAGAGGGGAAACACGACCAGACCAAAGGAUUGAAGCUCAGUCCCAUGACCAUGAGACUUGAGGUAGAAGGAGGAGGACAUGAACACUAUGAGUUUAAAAAGCUUUGUGUGAUUUAUGAUGGACUGGAAAAAUUUCAUCUUUAAAACAAAUAAAAUCAGCUUCUGUACAAUCUUUUGAUAAUAGGUUGCCAUUGUAAUGGUUCAUAUUUUUCUUCUCUUUUUAAAAGUCAAAAGUGUACUUAGAGUACUGUCAUGUGGAUAAAAGCUUUGUUUUUCAAAUAUAAGGCAGAUUUGAAUUGAAGGAUUAAAGUCUAUCUUUUAGAUUAAUUGCUUGGGGUGAUACCGUUUGACUUGUUUUAGUCCUACUAAUGUAGGAGAGCAUAAGUAUAUGGGAAAGAAAUUAAAAUCCUUAAACUUUUUGAACACACAAAUUAUAAACUAAACUCUGACUUAGUGGCAUAUGCGCGUGAAUUAUUUAACCCCAUCCCUCUAUAUACUGUAUACUAAUUUGGAGAAUGAAGAUGUUUUAAUCCUUAA